CUGCGGGUUCUGUGAGCAGCAGCUGUAGGUACUUAGAUAAUUACUGUGGAGGUCAGUGUCAGGUGCAGUUACUGAGCAUGUAGAGCCCCCUCCCACUCCUUCCCUUAGCAGCUCAGAGUGAUUUUCAGAAGCAUCAGGCGUAAAGAACAGGAGAUGGGGGAGCAGAUGAGCCCAGGUCCUGAUGUGCAAAUUACUUUGGGUUUCUGUUGCCACAGCUUGGAAACUUUUGGACAAAUCAUUCUGUUCCUUUCAGAGGGAUGUGAAUAACUUCUAUGGCAGUGGCCUAUUUCAGUCAGCUGGCGAGAGAUGUGGGUGAAAAGCGAAGAGCAUUGCAGCGAAUGAGUACAGUGGUUCUAUACGUCAUUUAUAAUAAUGAACCUUACAUCUAACUGGACUCUUGCUUCAGCUAAUGCUUUUCUCAAUUCAACGUACUUUUUUUUUUACAGGAAAUAAAUGAAAGCAAUGGAUAUUGGGCAGUUUUGAUUAUUUUUCUUUUAGUAAAAAAGUUUCCAAGUAACUGUUGUUCUCUGUCGCUGAACAAUUUAUUGCAGUUAAGACUAAAACUAAUAUCUUAUGCAUUUAUGAUUUGUAUGUUGCAAUGCUGCUUAACUUGCUAUUUUCUUCUUUUUUUUACCCCCUUUUCAUUUGAUUAUGGCUUUUUAAUAGUGCUAACCUAUAUAGAAAUCCGUAUAAGAGCUGUUCUAAUGCCAGAAAAACCUGUUAUGCUGAAAAACAGACAAAUGUUGCUAUAAAGUCUAGUUACC